rnacentral:rRNA from 1 species
UACGGGGGGGGCAAGCGUUGUUCGGAAUUACUGGGCGUAAAGGGCUCGUAGGCGGCCAACUAAGUCAUGCGUGAAAUCCCUCGGCUUAACCGGGGAACUGCGUCUGAUACUGGAUGGCUUGAGUUCGGGAGAGGGAUGCGGAAUUCCAGGUGUAGCGGUGAAAUGCGUAGAUAUCAGGAGGAACACCGAUGGCGAAGGCAGGUCUCUGGGCCACUACUGACGCUGAGAAGCGAAAGCAUGGGGAGCGAACAGG